GAUGAACGCUGGCGGCGUGCCUAAUACAUGCAAGUCGAGCGAACGGACGAGAAGCUUGCUUUUCUGAUGUUAGCGGCGGACGGGUGAGUAACACGUGGAUAACCUACCUAUAAGACUGGGAUAACUUCGGGAAACCGGAGCUAAUACCGGAUAAUAUUUUGAACCGCAUGGUUCAAAAGUGAAAGACGGUCUUGCUGUCACUUAUAGAUGGAUCCGCGCUGCAUUAGCUAGUUGGUAAGGUAACGGCUUACCAAGGCAACGAUGCAUAGCCGACCUGAGAGGGUGAUCGGCCACACUGGAACUGAGACACGGUCCAGACUCCUACGGGAGGCAGCAGUAGGGAAUCUUCCGCAAUGGGCGAAAGCCUGACGGAGCAACGCCGCGUGAGUGAUGAAGGUCUUCGGAUCGUAAAACUCUGUUAUUAGGGAAGAACAUAUGUGUAAGUAACUGUGCACAUCUUGACGGUACCUAAUCAGAAAGCCACGGCUAACUACGUGCCAGCAGCCGCGGUAAUACGUAGGUGGCAAGCGUUAUCCGGAAUUAUUGGGCGUAAAGCGCGCGUAGGCGGUUUUUUAAGUCUGAUGUGAAAGCCCACGGCUCAACCGUGGAGGGUCAUUGGAAACUGGAAAACUUGAGUGCAGAAGAGGAAAGUGGAAUUCCAUGUGUAGCGGUGAAAUGCGCAGAGAUGUGGAGGAACACCAGUGGCGAAGGCGACUUUCUGGUCUGUAACUGACGCUGAUGUGCGAAAGCGUGGGGAUCAAACAGGAUUAGAUACCCUGGUAGUCCACGCCGUAAACGAUGAGUGCUAAGUGUUAGGGGGUUUCCGCCCCUUAGUGCUGCAGCUAACGCAUUAAGCACUCCGCCUGGGGAGUACGACCGCAAGGUUGAAACUCAAAGGAAUUGACGGGGGCCCGCACAAGCGGUGGAGCAUGUGGUUUAAUUCGAAGCAACGCGGAGAACCUUACCAAAUCUUGACAUCCUUUGACAACUCUAGAGAUAGAGCCUUCCCCUUCGGGGGACAAAGUGACAGGUGGUGCAUGGUUGUCGUCAGCUCGUGUCGUGAGAUGUUGGGUUAAGUCCCGCAACGAGCGCAACCCUUAAGCUUAGUUGCCAUCAUUAAGUUGGGCACUCUAAGUUGACUGCCGGUGACAAACCGGAGGAAGGUGGGGAUGACGUCAAAUCAUCAUGCCCCUUAUGAUUUGGGCUACACACGUGCUACAAUGGACAAUACAAAGGGCAGCGAAACCGCGAGGUCAAGCAAAUCCCAUAAAGUUGUUCUCAGUUCGGAUUGUAGUCUGCAACUCGACUACAUGAAGCUGGAAUCGCUAGUAAUCGUAGAUCAGCAUGCUACGGUGAAUACGUUCCCGGGUCU
rnacentral:rRNA from 1 species